UCUCUAUCCUUCUCUCACUUAUUAUUCUUGUCUGUAUCGUCACUAGUAGAUUCUCAAAAACUUCACGCUGAUAUUAGAUGUACGAUGUAUUCGGCAAUUGAGAAAUUCUUAUGGGAAAGCAGAAUAAAAUUCUUAUGGGAAAAAUAUCGAAAGAUUGCCAAUCAAAGAAAGUGCAAGGAAUUGUUUUUUUAAAUGACGACUCGUGAUCGAAAAGGAAUGCUUCCGAAAUCGAAAGAUAUCCUCGGGCUUCUGUGCAGUGCUAAACGUUAACCAAGUGAACACGGCGCCUCAACGAUCGAUGAAUCAAUACGCACUACGCGCCGCAGAAGAAAGGGACGAGGGAUCAGAGAAGGGCAAGGAUACGGUGGUUAUGUACAAGUUGAAUAAACUUACACGAAGAACUCGUUCCUCCAUAACAAAGAGGAAAUAAA